rnacentral:rRNA from 1 species
GUAGUCCACGCCCUAAACGAUGGAUACUAGAUGUUGGAGUACCUAAUAGCUUCAGUAUCGUAGCUAACGCGUUAAGUAUCCCGCCUGGGAAGUACGGUCGCAAGAUUAAAACUCAAAGGAAUUGACGGGGGCCCGCACAAGCGGUGGAGCAUGUGGUUUAAUUCGAUGCUACGCGAAAAACCUUACCUAGACUUGACAUCCUGUGCUACCCUGUGAAAGCAGGGGUUCCCGCAAGGGACGCAGUGACAGGUGCUGCAUGGCUGUCGUCAGCUCGUGUUGUGAGAUGUUGGGUUAAGUCCCGCAACGAGCGCAACCCUCGCCGUUAGUUACCAUCAUUAAGUUGGGCACUCUAACGGAACCGCUUGGCUAUAAGCCAGA